UGACGCGCGUGUGGAAUCUUCUUUAAAAAUGGCAACAGAAUUUGACAGUUGAGUCAACGUUACUACAGGAGGUGAGUGCAACAUUUUGACAGCCCUAUCUCAAGCUUUUUUAAUGUUGACGUUUGUCAGAAACUAUACCUUAAAUGAUACAUAUCCUAAAUGGAAACGAGACGUUUUAACCAUAACGUUAACCUCAUUAUCAGAUAUAGGCUAUAGCAUACAACUAAAGGUUAGGUCAACGUGUCAUCGUUAGUGAACGUUAAUCUUAACUUUUUGUUUAACAUAACGUUAAUGUUAGAGCUUAGCCUUAUGUAGCCUACCGUUAGUUUGUUAAGUUAUAAGAUCGCAUUAUGCCUUGGCUUGUAUGCUAUGCUUAAACUGAAUGUUAGCCAAAUAUUCUGUUUAUUUUACUCCUUCAGCACAGACUUUUCAACUUCCCGUGUUUCCAACUCUCCUGAAAUGAAAGCUAACAUUAAUGGAGGAAGUCCUGACGUUCAUACUGCUGCACACAGAUUAGAAGCUAUUAAGGUAUCCAGUAUCAUGACAUUUGUGCUGCUGCUGUAUCUAAGCACACUUUCCUCCGGGAUCGCACAGGAUCAGGAUAUGCAUGUAAGUAGAUUAUUAUAAGUCAUAAACAUACAGGUAAGCAUAGUGGCUGUAGUGAGGGUCCUUUUUUAGUGCACCUAACAAAUAGGGAUAAUGGGAUGGGAUAUUCCUGUCAGGGGUAUUCAGGUUGUUGUAGUCUCUUCAGGUUGUUGGAUAACCUUUCAUAUUAUAGUUGGUUGGGAAUGCUAAAAACAAAUCAAGAAGGAGAGAAUCCCACCGAGCCUUCCUUAAAUUGGAUACCAUCGAGCAAAGCAUGGGAAAAGACAAAAUUCAUCACUCAAUGCAUCUGUAUCUCAAGCAGAAGCUUUCAGAAUUACACUUCACUGUGAUCCUUAUUGAUGUUUACUUUGAUUCCAGGACAAAACUCAAUCCACUGUGAGGGAAACUGCACUUUUUUUUUUUUUUUUUUCUAUUCACACAGAUGCCUGCUACCCAGGAUGCAAACACUGUAGUUCGGGUAUGGUGUGUGUGUGUGUGUGCGUGAUGUUCACUGAUGAUCUUUUUAAACUGACAGAUUGUAGAUGUUCUCGGUGAUGAAAGCUGAUCCAAAUCCAAUGACAAUGAGACAAAAAUGAAGGAGGAGUGUUGAAAAGUAAACCCUGAUCUAAAUACGAUUGAAAACAGAAUGAGGAGAACAAUCAAUGACAGAGUGGCAUUUAUUCAACGCCAGUCCACACAGGAAAUCCUUACCGAAUACCCAGCUUUACACCACAUUUGAACUGUUUUCUCUGAAAUUCAGCACCUGCAUAACAUUGACCUAAGUACCAAUCUGCACUAAAUCAGGCCUGUGAGGAAACAACCUACAAAUACAAAGCAGAGCGGCCAUAUCUGUUUGGGGACAAUCCUGACAGGCUCAUACGUUGUGGAUAAGAUAUCAAAGACACCCGCACCUACCCUAUGCAUGAGGCAACCCCUUCGAGGAAGACACCACCAUUACACUUUGCAUGGACGGACAAGACGUCAUAACACCAGAAGAUGUGUUGAUGGGCAUUGGAGCAUUGCUAGCAGUUUAUUUAAUUUUCAAUAUGGAAUACCCGAAGGCCGUGAACAAGACAUUGUUGUUUUACAGUCUAUGUGUGAUAUUAAGACAAAAGAAAAAAUCCCCAUUGCCGUAUUUUGGAUGUCAAAUUUCAUACUCUAAAUUAAAGGUCUCAUUCACUGAGAAACCAUUUAAUACGUGUUACUUUCGAAAUACUAUAGCUCACUCCAAGUUACAUAUGCAUGCUGUACGUGAAAAUUAUCUUCUACCCCCAUUGCCCGCAUUAGCCAAUGAAAGAAAAUACACAGAAAAACAAGCGAAUCAGAAAGAGCCC